UAAUACAGUUUUAUCAUAAAACAAUACAAAGAGUAAUUGCGAUAUGUCUAUCUCUUUAAUCUGUUUGUUGCUCUGUGAUUUGUUUGUACUUUUGUAUCAGUGGUACAUAAUCUUAAACAACUUUUUCUAUGGUCCAGUUUGAAAAAACCGGUAGUAGGUAACACGUGCGUAAGUGUGGUUAUAUAGGUUAUGUUUAAAGCUGACUUAUACGGAAAAGAGGUAAACACAAAAGGAAAAGACGAAGGUGAAACUGAAGACGAAUGCCAAAACGAAAUUCCUGCCCAAGGGAAAGGAUGUGACCGAUACAAAUUUUAAAGUGGAGACGAUUCUACUGUCUGAGUUGUCAAAGUCUAAGAACAAAGACAUUCUCUCAAGUAAAAAAAGUUUUAUUAUAAAAGACUUGGUUGUUCGAUUGAGACACUAUAAUUACAUCGUCUGACACAGUGCAUACAAAGAAGAAGCUGACAUGCAGAAGCAUUUUCAUGAUAAGAUUAUUUUAAAUCACUUAUGUAUUUUGAUAAAGAAAGUGAUGACAUUAAUUCAAGAUAGGUGGAAUAGUCUGGAGUUCCAGCUGUAGUAGUUAUCGACAAGCUUGUGGAAUAUGUAUGAAGCAAAAAUGAAGAUGCAUCAACAAAUCACAGUCACAUUCAAUAUUUCUUAGAAGCAGUUCUAUUUAUUGAGUGAAUCAACCAAGAUAUUGGAGGAUUGAUUGACUGAUAUAAAUCAUUACACCAUUUACUUUUAGUGCAGUCUUCAUGAUAAUUAAGACUUCAGCUAAUGAAAUUUGAAUCACAAUGAACAUUGUAUGAAGGAUUUUCCAGAAGCAAUCAUUUUAUGCAGUUUUGAAAUUUAUAGAACCAAUAUCAAAUUUAAUGUUGGGGUAUGUUUACUUAUAUUUUUUUAAAAGAAAAAUUAUGUAUUUGUCCUCAAUAAUUAACAAUUUCUUUGUAAUCAAUGGAGUUAUAUUAAUUUAAUGAGGAGAAUGUUAAAAAAUUAUGUUAAAUUACUUGAAAAAGAAAUGAAAUUAGGUUUCACAAAAUACCUCUGCCUGUGUAGACUUAAAAUUUAGUUCACUAAUGACAGUGUUUAUCCAGUACAAUGUUUAAUAAUAAACAAUAUAAAUGUACACAGGUUGAUCCAAGUGAUUCAUAAGAAGUUUGUAGAUAAUUAAAGGAAAUAUCAGCCAGAAGUUUUAGUUGCAACAUUAUUCUCAAUAUGUUGCACUUUGCACAAUUUGAGACUAUGAUAAUCACCAUAAUUAAGACAAAAGUAUAUUAAAGAAAGUGUAUUAUUAAGAAAGAAGAUUUAAUUAGAAUUUUUGAUAUUUGGAUCAUUUUCCGGAAAGGGCUCAUCAAGAUCGAUUUUCUUCAGCU